rnacentral:rRNA from 1 species
UUGUGACCUCAAAUCAGAUGGAUUACCCG